rnacentral:rRNA from 1 species
GGCUCAGAACGAACGCUGGCGGCGCGUUUUAAGCAUGCAAGUCGAACGGUAGAGAAGUGCUUGCACUUCUUGAGAGUGGCGAACGGGUGAGUAACACGUAGGUGAUCUACCGCAGGGGUUGGGGAUAGCCCAUGGAAACAUGGGGUAAUACCGAAUACGCUCAUUUGGCUGUGGCCGGAUGAGGAAAGGCGCUUCGGCGUCGCCCUGCGAUGAGCCUGCGCCCCAUUAGCUAGUUGGUAGGGUAAAGGCCUACCAAGGCGACGAUGGGUAGCCGGCCUGAGAGGGUGAUCGGCCACACUGGGACUGAGAUACGGCCCAGACUCCUACGGGAGGCAGCAGCUAAGAAUCUUCCGCAAUGGACGAAAGUCUGACGGAGCGACGCCGCGUGGGUGAAGAAGGCCGGAAGGUUGUAAAGCCCUUUUCUCGUUGAGGAAUAAGCACAGGAGGGAAUGCCUGUGCGAUGACGGUAGGCGAGGAAUAAGUCCCGGCCAAUUACGUGCCAGCAGCCGCGGUAACACGUAUGGGACGAGCGUUGUUCGGAAUCAUUGGGCGUAAAGGGCGCGUAGGCGGCGAGGUAAGCCUGGUGUGAAAGACCGCAGCUUAACUGCGGAACCGCGCUAGGAACUGCUUUGCUUGAGUUCAGGAGGGGGAGCUGGAAUUCCAGGUGUAGGGGUGAAAUCUGUAGAUAUCUGGAAGAACACCGGCGGCGAAGGCGAGCUCCUGGCCAUGAACUGACGCUGAGGCGCGAAAGCGUGGGGAGCGAACAGGAUUAGAUACCCUGGUAGUCCACGCUGUAAACGAUGUGCACUAGGUGUUGGGCCACGAAGGUUCAGUGCCGGAGUCAACGCGUUAAGUGCACCGCAUGGGGAGUAUGCUCGCAAGGGUGAAACUCAAAGGAAUUGACGGGGGCCCGCACAAGCGGUGGAGCAUGUGGUUUAAUUCGAUGAUACGCGAGGAACCUUACCAGGGUUUGACAUAUGCCGGAAUGUGCAGGAGACUGCGCAGCCCUUCGGGGCCGGUAUACAGGUGCUGCAUGGCCGUCGUCAGCUCGUGCCGUGAGGUGUUGGGUUAAGUCCCGCAACGAGCGC